GUCGGGAAUGUGUUAGACGAAUGAUUUUGUUUUAUGAAGCUUUGAAGAGCGAUGAAUGGCACUAAAGUGGUGCCAAAUGGAUAUCUCAAACACCCAUUGUUGAUGUGUGAUGCUGAUAAUACAGAGACAGCUAGAGUGACAGAGUUUGAUGAAUAAACUUAAAUUAAAAAACAGAAAUAACCACCAUCUCUCUCAGAGGUCAUCUUUCUCAUGAUUGUGGGGAAACCUCAAAGGGCAUCAGGAAAACCUUCAUCAACCUCUUUGUGCCCAGUGGCUUGUGCAACAGUGUUUCAGAAAUUAUCAUUAAAAUGGGGAUAAUGGAUGACUGGCCACACAUAUGGGGCUAUGGACAAGCUUCAGAGCAGGCUGCCAGGUGGUGGUGUUAGUAGUUUAUACUCCGGGUCCCGGCGUGAGCACAUUGAAGGGUCCCAGAGUGACAGUUCAACCACCCACACCUAUCCUGGGCAGAACCAGUACUAGGUGCCUUCACCUCUGCAAGGAACUGACAGCUUCUGUACAUGCCAGGUGCAGUGGUACAGUGCGAAUGGUCGUAGAAAGGAUUUCAUAACCAAUCACAACAGAGGUGACCUGGUCCGCCCGGGAAUCGA